UUUGUUUUGUUUUCUUUUUCUUUUUCCCUCAUUCACGUAAAACCCCUUUCCCCUCAACCUUCUUCUUCUUACUUCUUUUUCUUUGCCCAGUCGUCAGCCUCCCUGACAGUACCCGACGACACACUCUAGUGGACGACGGUGCAACAGGCAUCUCGGCGGCAACGGAGUUCCGCUCCAUUUCGCGGUGUUUCGAGGUGGGCGCGGCGGUCUGUGGUGUUGAGCGACGUCUCGAGGGUUUGGUGGCGGCCAAUGAUCCAUCUCAACUCAGUAUGGGAGACCCCCACACCCUUGUGGCAAUGAUUAGGGCUGUAAGGACGUUUUCGGUAAGGAUUGGAGUUACAACCAUGGUGGUGAUGUGGGGAAGACUCGACUGAGGAAGGACCACUAGGCUGCAUUGCACUCGUUUUCUUUUUCUGUUAGGAUAGUCGUAUUUCCUUUUUACUUAUGGAUGUACCAGUUUGGUGAUGUUUAGGGAUGGCUUGGUGGGUGCUGUCUGAUGGGUCUGAACAUUUUUAGCUCCUAGAGUAGAUGUUAUCUUUGUGCACUUAGACUUGUAACGAGUAUUGACUACUGUUUAAAAUAGGAUUAAACAUGAAUUUAUGUUUGUUUAGCCCAUGGAGGGCGAGUUGAUUCUUUGGUUAUUGGAAUAAUUUUGGACCUUA